rnacentral:rRNA from 1 species
AGAGUUUGAUCCUGGCUCAGGAUGAACGCUGGCGGCGUGCCUAACACAUGCAAGUCGAGCGAUUCUCUUCGGAGAAGAGCGGCGGACGGGUGAGUAACGCGUGGGUAACCUGCCCUGUACACACGGAUAACAUACCGAAAGGUAUGCUAAUACGAGAUAAUAUGCUUUUAUCGCAUGGUAGAAGUAUCAAAGCUUUUGCGGUACAGGAUGGACCCGCGUCUGAUUAGCUAGUUGGUAAGGUAACGGCUUACCAAGGCGACGAUCAGUAGCCGACCUGAGAGGGUGAUCGGCCACAUUGGAACUGAGACACGGUCCAAACUCCUACGGGAGCCA